rnacentral:tRNA from 1 species
AGGGUAAUCGCUCAGUGGCAGAGCGCAUGCGUAACAUGCAUGAGGUCCUGGGUUCAAUCCCCAGUAUCUCCA